rnacentral:tRNA from 1 species
UAUAAUUUAGUAUAUGAUGUAUUCGAAUUUUUGGUAUUCGUGGAGCUAGUUUAAUUUUAGCAAUUAUAA